CUUGGCCCAAGCUCGGUAGAGUUACUGUAUAUGGCUCCUUUUAACUCUCAAGCUCAGUAAAGAAGCUCAGCAUCCAAUAACCAACGCUCUACUGUCUGUCACACUGCUUGCUGUGAUAACGCUCUACCCGUGUGAAUGGAACGGCCUGGCAACGUGUGCACGUUGCCAGAGCCAAUUUUGAAGGCCUCGAGUAAUCCAACAUGACACUAACGAGCACUAACUGCAAGUGUUUCGGUAGUCUCAGCCCGGCGGAGGCUUUCGCUGCAGUAUUGUAGAAAAAUGUGUGGUCGGUGAAAUCUGGCAUCUAGGGUGAUUCGAUUUGGUGACGAUGCAGCGGCCAUAUAAUGUACUUUUAUUCCGUGUUCCGUAUUCCGUAUUCCCUGUUACGUCACGCUUGAGGCGCCGUCCACACCGGAAGCCGCGAUGUUUUUCGAAUUUGGCCAAUAAAAAGCGCUCGUAGCCGCCCAUAGCUUGUAGAGCAAGACAAGUGCGGCAGUUGGCGUUUUUUACGUAGGAAUUCUGGGGAAAUCCCUAGUAUUUUUUAGGUAUUUUCGGAAGGAAAAUUUAGGGGCUUUAGUGACUUCUUGGUUGAGGGCCGCAAAGGGGCCGUAUAACUAUUUUAUUUCGUCCGCGAGCGUGUGACAAAACAACAAUUGUACGUAAAUGAAAAUAAAUUUGUUUUAUGAGCUUCUGGUACUAAAAUUAUUGAAAAUGAUUGCGAAGUAAACGCAAAAAAAACGUAUUUUGAGAGUCGUAGCCGCAUGGGUGUCGCUUUUGCAUCCAAUCCAAGUCCCUUAAGGCGGCCGUUGCGAGAAAAACAGCUCAUCGUCUCUGCGAGCCGUGUUUUCUGUUCUGUCACCUAUAGUGCUGCGAAAAGAGUGUGAUCGCGACUACCGGGGAGUAUUUUCGUCGCAGAGGAAUGUUGGAAGCUGCGAAGAGCAAGGAAAACAUGGAAUGCUAGCUGCAAGGUGAGUAAACAAUGCCGAGCAUGCCGUUAGCGCGUUAUGUUUACUUUGCUUUGGUUCUUACAGGUAGCGAAAAAAAAAAAAUCGUUAUGAACUGGGGAAGCCUGUACUUCUAUCGUCUGAUAUCUACUGCAGCAUCCGGAGCUUGUCGAUGGAGUGAGGGGCAUGCGUUCAGCUACCUAAUGCAUCGCAGGCACCCUCUAACAUCUCCUGGCUGCCAAUGGGCCUGGAGUUCCCCAGUCUUCACUGCUGCUGUAGCCACCUCGUCGGCCAUGAACAUUAAGACUUUAUUGCCAUUUUAACUUGUCUUUAUUUUUCUGUUCUUUGUUUCGCGUUUCCUUACUUGCGUGUCAUCUUUUUGGUGUGAAAAGUGUAGUGCGUAAGUGUUUUUAAAUCGAUACUCCACUUUCUUGGGGUAGUGUGAGCACGUCUGCCCAAGUUGCUUUGACAUGUGAUCGUCAGCCUUCUGAAAUGAUGCACACAACACAUAUCAUGUGGCGUCAUUUCAUGCAGCAAUCCUGUAAGCA